rnacentral:rRNA from 1 species
UGAAAAGAACCCCGGAGAGGGGAGUGAAAUAGAAUCUGAAACCGUUUGCGUACAAGCAGUGGGAGCAUGGUUUAGGCUGUGUGACUGCGUACCUUUUGUAUAAUGGGUCAGCGAGUUACUUUCAGUGGCGAGGUUAACUGAAUAAGGGAGCCGUAGAGAAAUCGAGUCUGAAUAGGGCGAUAGUCGCUGGGAGUAGACCCGAAACCGGGCGAUCUAGCCAUGUGCAGGAUGAAGGUUGGGUAACACCAACUGGAGGUCCGAACCGGGUAAUGUUGAAAAAUUAUCGGAUGACGUGUGGCUAGGAGUGAAAGGCUAAUCAAGCCCGGAGAUAGCUGGUUCUCCCCGAAAGCUAUUUAGGUAGCGCCUCGUGAAUGAUUACUGGGGGUAGAGCACUGUUUCGGCUAGGGGGCUGUCAUGGCUUACCAAACCGAUGCAAACUCCGAAUACCGGCUAAUUGAAUCACGGGAGACACACGGCGGGUGCUAACGUCCGUCGUGGAGAGGGAAACAACCCAGACCGCCAGCUAAGGUCCCCAAGUACUAGUUAAGUGGGAAACGAUGUGGGAAGGCAUAGACAGCCAGGAGGUUGGCUUAGAAGCAGCCACCCUUUAAAGAAAGCGUAAUAGCUCACUGGUCGAGUCGGCCUGCGCGGAAGAUGUAACGGGGCUAAAACUAGUCACCGAAGCUGCGGAUGUGCGCGAAGGCGCACGUGGUAGGGGAGCGUUCUGUAGGCUGAUGAAGGUGCAUUGAGAAGUGUGCUGGAGGUAUCAGAAGUGCGAAUGCUGACAUGAGUAACGAUAAUGUGGGUGAAAAGCCCACACGCCGGAAGUCCCAGGUUUCCUGCACGACGUUAAUCGGAGCAGGGUGAGUCGGCCCCUAAGGCGAGGCUGAAGAGCGUAGUCGAUGGGAACCAGGUUAAUAUUCCUGGACUUUUUAUAAGUGGUGAAGUGGGGACGAAGAAGGCUAGGUGAGCCAGGCGUUGGUUGUCCUGGUACUUGCAUGUAGGGGGGAAGACUUGGCAAAUCCGGUUUUCCAUAACUCUGAGGUGCGAAGUGGUUCUGACCUUUUGGUACAGAGAAGUCAUUGAUGCCCGGCUUCCAGGAAAAGCUGCUAGCCAUAACUUAUAGAGAACCGUACCGCAAACCGACACAGGUGGACAGGUAGAGAAUACUAAGGCGCUUGAGAGAACUCGGGUGAAGGAACUAGGCAAAAUGGUACCGUAACU